rnacentral:rRNA from 1 species
AUUGAACGCUGGCGGCAUGCCUUACACAUGCAAGUCGAACGGCAGCGGGGGAGAAGCUUGCUUUUCCUGCCGCCGAGUGGCGAACGGGUGAGUAAUACAUCGGAACGUGCCCUGUAGUGGGGGAUAACUAGUCGAAAGAUUAGCUAAUACCGCAUACGACCUGAGGGUGAAAGUGGGGGACCGCAAGGCCUCAUGCUAUAGGAGCGGCCGAUGUCUGAUUAGCUAGUUGGUGGGGUAAAGGCCUACCAAGGCGACGAUCAGUAGCUGGUCUGAGAGGCCGAUCAGCCACACUGGGACUGAGACACGGCCCAGACUCCCACGGGAGGCAGCAGUGGGGAAUUUUGGACAAUGGGCGAAAGCCUGAUCCAGCAAUGCCGCGUGUGUGAAGAAGGCCUUCGGGUUGUAAAGCACUUUUGUCCGGAAAGAAAUGGCUCUGGUUAAUACCUGGGGUCGAUGACGGUACCGGAAGAAUAAGGACCGGCUAACUACGUGCCAGCCGCCGCAGUAA